rnacentral:piRNA from 1 species
UUUCAGGACACCUAUAUCCAUGCAGGG